AUUGAACGCUGGCGGAAUGCUUUACACAUGCAAGUCGAGCGGCAGCACGGGGGCAACCCUGGUGGCGAGCGGCGAACGGGUGAGUAAUACAUCGGAACAUGCCCAGUCGUGGGGGAUAACACUUCGAAAGAAGUGCUAAUACCGCAUACGUCCUGAGGGGGAAAGCGGGGGAUCGCAAGACCUCGCGCGAUUGGAGUGGCCGAUGUCAGAUUAGCUAGUUGGUGGGGUAAAGGCCUACCAAGGCAACGAUCUGCAGCUGGUCUGAGAGGAUGAUCAGCCACACUGGGACUGAGACACGGCCCAGACUCCUACGGGAGGCAGCAGUGGGGAAUUUUGGACAAUGGGGGCAACCCCGAUCCAGCCAUUCCGCGUGAGUGAAGAAGGCCUUCGGGUUGUAAAGCUCUUUCGGCAGGAACGAAACGGUGAGCUCUAACAUAGCUUGCUAAUGACGGUACCUGAAGAAGAAGCACCGGCUAACUACGUG
rnacentral:rRNA from 1 species